GUAUGCACUUUUACUGUAUAUAUGUUUUAAGAGAUAUAUUCGCUGAAUCAAACCAUAUUUUUGUACUUAAACGAUUUAUUGAUUUGUGUUGAAAGUCGUCAUGAUAGUCACCUAAGAUUAUAGAGUCGAGUGCAAUUAGCACGUGCAGGAUUGAACAGUUUCGUCAUGCUGGUGAUACAGUAGUUCGACAACUUACAACACUCGCCACCGAGGCCCUUGAGAUCCUGAAAUGAAAACUGCAAAAGCUACCACUACACUAGGAUUUACUGAUCAAGAUCCAUUACCAGAUUGUCAGUGUGCAUAUCUAGAUCGAGAAGCUAAUUUAUGCACAGAGUCAGAGGGAUUUGAAGAUUUGAAAAGAUUUUGCUGUUACUAUUGCAAUAAAAAGAAGGGCAUAUUCACUUAUCCUGAUAUCACAUGUCUUCGUAUAGAGA